UACAGAGGGGGCAAGCGUUAUUCGGAAUUAUUGGGCGUAAAGGGCGCGUAGGCGGCCUGACAAGUGGAUGGUGAAAUCCCUCGGCUUAACCGAGGAACUGCCAUCCAGACUUGUUGGCUUGAGACCGGGAGAGGUGAGUGGAAUUCCCAGUGUAGCGGUGAAAUGCGUAGAUAUUGGGAGGAACACCAGUGGCGAAGGCGGCUCACUGGACCGGUACUGACGCUGAUGCGCGAAAGCGUGGGGAGCAAACAGGG
rnacentral:rRNA from 1 species